UACGUAGGGUGCGAGCGUUGCUCGGAAUUACUGGGCGUAAAGGGCGCGUAGGCGGCACUGUUAGUCAGGCGUGAAAGUCCUGGGCUCAACCUGGGAACUGCGCUUGAUACGGCAGAGCUAGAGGAUGGAAGAGGGUCGCGGAAUUCCCAGUGUAGAGGUGAAAUUCGUAGAUAUUGGGAAGAACACCGGUGGCGAAGGCGGCGACCUGGUCCGUGACUGACGCUGAGGCGCGAAAGCGUGGGGAGCAAACAGG
rnacentral:rRNA from 1 species